UUUCAAUCGCAGUCUGUAUUC
ensembl:piRNA 21ur-14049 ncRNA